rnacentral:rRNA from 1 species
AUUGAACGCUGGUCGGCAUGGCCUUACACAUGCAAGUUCGAACGGCAGCACGGACUUACGGUCUGGUGGCGAAGUGGCGAACGGGUGAGUAAUGUAUCGGAACGUACCUUUCAGUGGGGAUAACGUAGCGAAAGUUACGCUAAUAACCGCAUAUUCUGUGAGCAGGAAAGCAGGGGAUCGCAAGACCUUGCGCUGAUUGAGCGGCCGAUAUCAGAUUAGCUAGUUGGUGAGGUAAAGGCUCACCAAGGCGACGAUCUGUANCGGGUCUGAGAGGAUGAUCCGCCACACUGGAACUGAGACACGGUCCAGACUCCUACGGGAGGCAGCAGUGGGGAAUUUUGGACAAUGGGCGCAAGCCUGAUCCAGCCAUGGCGCGUGAGUGAAGAAGGCCUUCGGGUUGUAAAGCUCUUUCGGCCGGGAAGAAAUCGCACAGGUUAAUACCCUGUGUGGAUGACGGUACCGGAAUAAGAAGCACCGGCUAACUACGUG